UACGUAGGGUGCGAGCGUUAAUCGGAAUUACUGGGCGUAAAGCGUGCGCAGGCGGUCUUUUAAGUCAGAUGUGAAAUCCCCGGGCUUAACCUGGGAACUGCGUUUGAAACUGGAAGGCUUGAGUGUGGCAGAGGGGGGUGGAAUUCCACGUGUAGCAGUGAAAUGCGUAGAGAUGUGGAGGAACACCGGUGGCGAAGGCGGCUCGCUGGGCCAUUGCUGACGCUGAGGCGCGAAAGCGUGGGGAGCAGACAGG
rnacentral:rRNA from 1 species